GAUGAACGCUGACAGAAUGCUUAACACAUGCAAGUCUACCAAGAAUCACUUCGGUGUGGAAUGGUGGCGGACGGGUGAGUAACGCGUAAAUAAUCUGCCCUUUAGACUGGGAUAUCCUUUGGAAACGAAGGUUAAUACCGGAUAUUAUGAGAUGGACGCAUGUUCAACUUAUGAAAGCUAAAUGCACUAGAGGAGGAGUUUGCGUCCCAUUAGCUAGUUGGUGAGGUAAAGGCUCACCAAGGCCACGAUGGGUAGCCGGCCUGAGAGGGUGAACGGCCAAAAGGGAACUGGGACACGGGCCUUACUCCUACGGGAGGCAGCAGUGGGGAAUAUUGGACAAUGGACCAAAAGUCUGAUCCAGCAAUUCUGUGUGCACGAUGAAGGUCUUCGGAUUGUAAAGUGCUUUCAGUAGGGAAGAAAAAAAUGACGGUACCUACAGAAGAAGCGACGGCUAAAUAUGUGCCAGCCGCCGCAGUAAAAC
rnacentral:rRNA from 1 species